rnacentral:rRNA from 1 species
AUUGAACGCUGGCGGCAGGCCUAACACAUGCAAGUCGAGCGGAGCGGCGGACGGGUGAGUAAUGCCUAGGAAUCUGCCUGGUAGUGGGGGAUAACGUCCGGAAACGGGCGCUAAUACCGCAUACUAUCAGAUGAGCCUAGGUCGGAUUAGCUAGUUGGUGGGGUAAAGGCCUACCAAGGCGACGCUCCGUAACUGGUCUGUGAGGAGGAUCAGUCACACGGGAACUGAGACACGGUCCCGACGCCUACGGGAGGCAGCAGUGGGGAAUAUUGGACCUUGGUCGAAAGCCUGAGCCAGCCAUGCCGUGUGUGUGAAUAAGGUCUUCGGAUUGUAAAGCACUUUAAGUUGGGAGGCGUUACCAACAGAAUAAGCACCGGCGAACUUCGUGCCAGCAGCCGCGGUAAUUC